GAAAAGACUUGGUCAAAAUCAUAAUCCUAGAUCGAUCAUGACCCCCGGUGGUGUUUGAGGCAGGGUCGAUGAGUGCACGUCUGGAGGUCUCUGGUCCGGCCCCAAAGAUUCCUGAUAUUCAUGGGUUUCAUACUGUUCCCAUAAUUGAUCAAUAAACAGAUCAAUACAUAAACUCACAAGUAAACCAAUUUAAACUGGGUGAAGUACUGUCCAAUUAUAAAAAUACUUAGUGAAGCAGGAAAUUCUAUCAAUAUUCACUGAAAAUGUCGAAUUCCCAGGACAAGUAAAUGGUGUCUGCUUGCUGGUUAUUUGCUUAAGGAGCACAUACUCGGCAUACAUGUAGACACGCAUGUUCUAGGCGCAAGGUCACAGAUGUUCGUCUUACAGGACAAGGCCAUGAAAACACUGGAAAUGGUGAUUGCUGAAUUAAAGCACUAAGUGAAAGGCUGUGAGGAAAGGCCAGGGAGGGCAGUAUCAUUUUGUGCCCUUUGCUCUGUUGCCCUCAGGACGGGUACUUCCCUGAGGACCUCCCACGCUCCUCCCUGGUCGUCAGCCCAUGGCUGCUUCUCUCGAUUAUCCCUUGGACAAUGCAGGGAGCGCUGAGCUGGUGUGAGAAGCCUGCACCCAUCCAUCCUGUGCUGAGCCUGUGCUAGAACCCAGACCACCAUGAGUCAGAGCCCAAACUGUUAUCUUCCUGAGGUAACUGAUUAGAGAUAUUAACGCAUUAUUAGAAAGUAUAUACUGAUUGAUUUUCAGUGUUUUAAAAGAUAGUAAAUAAAAUAAGUAAUUGUUUUUCAUAGUAGAUUAGAAAAACAAAACAAAAGAACAAUUGAUAUUUUCUUUAUUUUAUUUUAUCUGAUACAUAAAACAUAAAAAUUAUACAUAGUGAUUGGGUGCCAUGGCAUGCUC
rnacentral:lncRNA from 1 species